rnacentral:rRNA from 1 species
GGGGGAAUAUUGCACAAUGGGGGAAACCCUGAUGCAGCCAUGCCGCGUGUGUGAAGAAGGCCUUCGGGUUGUAAAGCACUUUCAGUGGUGAGGAAGGCCAUACACUUAAUACGUGUGUGGAUUGACGUUAACCACAGAAGAAGCACCGGCUAACUCCGUGCCAGCAGCCGCGGUAAUACGGAGGGUGCGAGCGUUAAUCGGAAUUACUGGGCGUAAAGCGUACGUAGGCGGCUUGUUAAGCAAGAUGUGAAAGCCCCGGGCUCAACCUGGGAAUGGCAUUUUGAACUGGCAAGCUCGAGUUCUGAAGAGGGUGGUAGAAUUUCCUGUGUAGCGGUGAAAUGCGUAGAUAU